AUCGCUUCUCGGCCUUUUGGCUAAGAUCAAGUGUAGUAUCUGUUCUUGGCGUGGGGGGGUAUGCAUCCUAGCUAAAGGAUGCAUGUUGGGGCCCUCC
ensembl:snRNA U2 U2 spliceosomal RNA